AGGAACAAUCGACCCUUCGAUCGCGGGGUUACGUUUAAUUUCCUCUACGCGCUAGUCGGGCCACCCUUAACAAUAUUAUAGCGCAAGGGAAGACGCGAUACUGGAAGUGGCUGCUUCAAGGUUCUCAAGUUCGUCCCGUGUCAGCCCCGGGUCUUCCUGGUGUAAUGGAGUACAGUGCGAGAUCGUAACUCAAGCCCGAAGCUAAUGUUGGUGGCCAUGUCAAUUAUAAAGUCGUUCCAAUGAAGAGCUACAGCUGCGCCCUCUUCUACUACCGGCGGGAUAUUCAAACUAUGCUACUUUCUCGAGGUAAGGAUCUUCUCCGGUCGUUACGACUUGUUAUUCACGACACGUUGCGACUGACGUGCAAAUCAACUUUCGGCGUUGCUACGAGCUUGUUGAUUUUUCCGUCGUGGAAAACGAGCGACGAUUUGUCUGCAAACAUUUGACUUUCCAUCCUCGCCGAACCCUAAAUAUUCUUCUUUUUUCGGUUCGUCAAACACCCACCGGAGUACUCUGGAUACUCAUUAACGUGGGAGUUACGUAGUGUACGGACCUGAUGAAAAGUACUGUAU